rnacentral:lncRNA from 1 species
UUUACAGAUGGCAAUAACUUCCCAGCACUGAUGAAAGAGCAAAAAGAUUUAGCCUUAUGCUACAGCUGAGGAAUGUAAGGUGCAAAAAAAGAUCACUUAUUAGCUUAUUGAGACACUGGGCUGAGCUUGUGAGACAUGCUAGCCUGGAGUGCAGCAGUGAUGGAGCUCGGGCCACGUGGGCAGCAUCUCAUGGCACAGAGCUGUGACUCUCACUUCAGUUACCCAGUUUGUCCAAGAACCCAGGAGAGAAUGUGCAAAAAGCUAGUAAAAGCUGGUUUAAGAAACAAUAGUGGCCAGGAGAUGAUGGCAAUGUGUUGUGCUGAUGAGAAUAAUACAUCAACAGUGCUUAGGAAAGUGGGUAUGAUUUCAUCAGCUGUAGUGCAGCUACAAGCCAUUUCCCUAUGUUUUUCUUCUCUAAUGUGUUAUACUGUAAGAAACAAUAGCCAGCUACAAUGUACGCUUCCUCUUUUUUUGGUACUUGAAAGACAAGCUAUCUGAGAAGCAGCAGUACAGCUGGUCUAACUCAGCUUGGCCUAAUAGAACUGAGCCUGCUCGUGCUGUUUGCAGGGUGGUGAUGAUACAUGCAUAAAGAGAACUGUGUCUCUACCUGGGAAUAAAGUUGGUGCACUGGGCA